UCCACCCCUUCCCAGACCUCAUUAAGGGUUGGCAAUGGAGGUGAGGGUCUCUCUGGAGAUCCUGCCUAUUGGAGACCUUCUAAAGAACUGAACUACAAACAUGCUUUCGCAAACCUCGGAAAAGGUAUCCACCUGUCUGCAGAUUUGGCCUGCGUUACUCCUGCAUCUGAGCCUCCUGCAAGCCUGCUUUGAGAAUGCCUACUGGUUUUGCUGGCACAAGAGGAGGAAUAGUCCAUUCCCAGACAACAGCCAUCGCUUGCUGCUGCAACACAGAGGAGAGGUGUGCUGCCUUGCUGACCUUAGCCCCAGGAUGAAACCUGUCUGCACCCUGCAACAGCAAAGAACAGCAGAAUAGAAAAUGUUUCCCUCAACUUUAAAAUGAAGGAACUGCUUUCAAAACAACCUUAAAAUGCAGAAGCAAAGUCCUACACUUCCUCUCCUCCCUGAGCUUCUCCUUGCACCAGCAACACCAAAGCAGAAUCCUGCACGUGGCACAAGGAAGGCAAGGAGCCCUGCUCCAGCUGUUGGGGAUAUGCAGAUGUGCACUGCAACCUUGGUUUGUACACUUAGCUGGGACAACAGGAUGCAACAACGGGUUACAGAAAGGUGAGCAAGGAAAAUUAUUCCACUUGACGACGUGUGAACUCUAGCCUUAAACUUCUGAGCAUUUCAUCUACAAUGCAUAGCAUGAGCCCAAGCUUUCAAAGACAGAAAUAAUUUUUGCUCAGUGAUGACUUUCUGUAGCACAAAAACUCACUAGCACCCCUCAUUCUACAUGAGAGUUGUACGUUAGCAUUUAACUGCACAUUUUAUGCUCAAACUAACCCAAGACUUCAGGAACGACUUUCUAUUAGCAUGACCAGAAGGCAGCUUUACUGCAUAUACAUGCAAAAGCCAGCACAAGACUGUGAAGAACCGGGAUGCACCAAGCUUUUCAAGCUGUGUGGAGGGUGAUCCACAGCUUGUCAUUUCUGACUACUUGGUUCCCUCUAGCGGGGAUUCAGGAUAAACCUGCGCCCCACACAAAUACAGCAGUGACUCAGAACUUACCGAGAGUUUUUCCACGUCUCCUUUCAGAACUCGUUCCAGGUAGAGCUGUUUAAGUUCUCGCUCCAGUCGUGAAGGCAGCCCAGGGUACAUAGUGGACCCUCCAGACAACACAAUGUGCUUAUAGAAUUCAGACCUAACCAAGAGAACAAUCUUUUUAGAGUGCUACAGAGUUUCUGAUAGGACAAGUAGGUACCUGUACAUACAGAGAAGUAAAUACAGAUCUACAAAACUGACAUCACACAAACACAAAAACAACCUUUGCCCAAGUUUGGCACACUUGCUCACACUUCUCCAGAUGUCCCAGAAAGCAGCAAUCAAAAAAGAAGGAACACGAAAGAAACCCCACAAUUCCAAGAUUUAAUCCUUGCUUAUUCAUACAAAAUAGUAAUGUUUUCAGAUAAUGCACUAAGCUUCAAAAAGUCAUCUAAGACCGACCCCCAGUUCCAACAUAUAUCUUCACACAGCUGGUGGUGACUAAAGCAAAAAGAUGUUAUUUUCUUGGAAAGCAAUCCCUGUGUCACAAUUCACUGUCAGAGUGCAGGAGUAAGUGUGCUCUUACCUGGUAUCAAUGUCAGCAGCCUGGAUGGUGUUGAACAGCAGCUCAGCCACACCAACCCCCUCCACAUUGAUUAAGUGAGGCUGGAAAAGUGCCUCUGGUGCCUCAAACCGUUCUCCACCGACUUUGAUAAUCCUGCCAUCUGGGAGCUAGUGAAGAGAAAGCCAUUCAGCAGGCUGCUUUUAGCCACUCAGAUACAGAAAACAGGAGGAAAUGACUUACGUUGUUACUAGGUGUUUUAAAGCAGGAAAUUGUUGCUUAUUGUCACCACUGCAAGAAGUCAGUGCUACUGAAAGAAGAUUCUUCAAUUGCUAUGUGAUUUACUUACAGAGAUCAAGGACCAGAUACACUGAUACUGAAGUACCAAAUGCUGCCUUGCAAUACAGCUCUUAAUUUUGAUUUUAAAGAUGAACUUGAGGCAAGAAAAAUGCUAUUCUGAAACUCCUUUCUUUUCAUGUGCUAUUACAGCAAGUCUCCUAAGAGUAAGUUUACCCCCCUUCUUACCAGUUUCCAGUCCCAGAUGUAUCACAGCUAGAGGGACGAAGCUGAAACAAUCUGACCUGCUAGCGUAAGUCCACUUUCUCUACAAGUUUUUGUGCUGUAAUAUUCAAAUUUCAAGCAUCUACAGUUACAAAAGUCAAUACAAAGCUUUAAAGAUAUCCCCAAAAUCAGCUUUUCUAGUUUUCCCAGAACCAAGUAAUGUGAUUCUACAGACUUCUGUGUCUGGGAAGUGAGCUACUGCCAAGACAAACUUACAAGGAAUCAAAGCUAAAUGCUACCUGAUUUUAGACCUAAUACAUUUAGGUCAAGAAAAUGUGCCUCAAAACACUCACCGUGUACGACUCAACUAGUACUGUGGUCUCUAAUGCCAAUUUCUGCUCCUGUUCAAUGUUGUAUCCCACAUAGCACAGCUUCUCCUUGAUCAUGCGAACAGUCUCGAAAUCAGCAGAGUGGUUGAAAGCAUAGCCUCGCAGUAAGAGGAGCUGCAGUGAACAGAUUAGAUUAGCUAUAAAGGUGAGAAACAGCACAGAUCUCCUUGCCUCCAGUGUGCACAGUCAACAACUUGUCAAGUUUCCCUGGCUUUUCUAGCUGCAAAUUCAGUAUUAAGUCAAAUCUGUAACUGUAUCCAUUAUUAUCAGAACAAGGAAAAAAAACCAACCAGAUACAAUAUCACUGUAAGUAGGAAAUCUUCCCAAGAACUUCCAGUGCAAUUGUUACAGAAGUGAAAGAUACUAAAAUAAUCCUCCCAUUUAGGACUUCGCUUCAGAACAGCACAAUAUUGCAGUUAAGCAAUAUUCUGGAUUAAAAAAUCCUAAGGUUUACAUACUUUUUAAAAGUAAAUAAUAAAACAUUCUUAUUUAAUAAUCAGAUAAGAAUCAUUACAUUAUUUUCUACACUAAAAAAGAUGUUAGAAUAUAUAGUCGUUUUUAUUUUACAUCUCAAGAAAGCCAAAUGUGAGAUUUUCCUUCCCAAACACAGAAGGGAGGCCCUUCCCUUCUUAGACUAUUACUAGGAAAGUGAGUGAAGUCUGAAUAACAUCAGUGCUAUAGAUGAGGAAACGUAACACAGAGAGGCUGAAGCAAUACAAAGAAUACUGGUUCUCUUUCUGUAAAGAACACACAAACAAUAAAGUUUCUUCCUACCAAGGGAUUUUAACUUGAACCCGUGUGCCACUGCCAUCAGCCUCAGCCUUAAAGACUCUUUCCAGCUCACCUUAAUGAGGUACCUGGUGAUAUCCCUCCCAGCAAUAUCUAACCGCCUGGUGAGAUGAGGGAGAGAGAAACCUUCAUAAACUGGGCAGAUAUGAGUGACACCAUCUCCAGAGUCCACAACAACACCAGUCAGCAGACCUAGAAGAAUGAAACAGGGGAGGAAGUACAACUGUUAGUAGCACCUCCAUAAAUAGAGCAGAACAGUUUUAUCAUUGUAAUCAUAACCUUGUUGGUAUCCUAAAAGAACACUGUAAUGGUCAUCACCCUUUUGAGAAAAGGAAGCAAAACCUAAAAUUCAGUUAUUUCCACUCACCUAGAUUUUAAACAUAAGAUUUUCACAGUGAAAAUGCCUGUAUAUACACAUGUUAAAAACGGAUUAUCCUUCCUCUUGCCUAGGUGCUUCAACUCUACCAUUUGCCAUUUUUUCCACUGUUUUCACAUCUUAAAUUGCAUCUUAAAUUAAAGAGAAUAGCUAAGGUCAUUAAAUGUUUGUUGGAUUAUAAAUUCCUGAGUAGAUCCAGUUAUGUAUGUGCAACAUGAUAUUAAUUGCUCCAAUAUAAAGAAAUGUGGAGGUAUUCAUGCCACAAGUUUCUCUUGUUAGAAUACUGUUAGGAUUUGUUCAUGAUGCUUUCUUCUCAAGUACCAAUUAAUGCUUUCAUAGGGCAGAAAAUAUCUGUUCUUCAACAGCAGACUGCUCCAAGUUGUUUUAUGUUUUGUUGUUCAGAGUAACUGAGCACUAUGCAGUAAAAUAAAUUCUGCUGUAAUUGUAAAUGGAAGACUGUGCAUUUUUCAGACAGAUAGACUUGUAAUGAACCAAACAAAAAACAAUGAUAAAGGAAAAAAAAAAAGAAAGAGUGAUCAGCAAAUAAAACUAAA